rnacentral:rRNA from 1 species
GACAGAGGGUGCAAACGUUGUUCGGAAUCACUGGGCAUAAAGCGCACGUAGGCGGUCCGUUAAGUCAGAUGUGAAAGCCCCCGGCUCAACCGGGGAACGGCAUCUGAUACUGGCGGGCUCGAGGAUGGCAGGGGUGAGCGGAACUCCAGGUGGAGCGGUGAAAUGCGUAGAUAUCUGGAGGAACACCGGUGGCGAAAGCGGCUCACUGGACCAUAUCUGACGCUGAGGUGCGAAAGCUAGGGUAGCAAAC